rnacentral:rRNA from 1 species
AGAACUUUCCAGAGAUGGAUUGGUGCCUUCGGGAACUCUGAGACAGGUGCUGCAUGGCUGUCGUCAGCUCGUGUUGUGAAAUGUUGGGUUAAGUCCCGCAACGAGCGCAACCCUUUAUCCUUUGUUGCCAGCGGUUAGGCCGGGAACUCAAAGGAGACUGCCAGUGAUAAACUGGAGGAAGGUGGGGAUGACGUCAAGUCAUCAUGGCCCUUACGAGUAGGGCUACACACGUGCUACAAUGGCGCAUACAAAGAGAAGCGACCUCGCGAGAGCAAGCGGACCUCAUAAAGUGCGUCGUAGUCCGGAUUGGAGUCUGCAACUCGACUCCAUGAAGUCGGAAUCGCUAGUAAUCGUAGAUCAGAAUGCUACGGUGAAUACGUUCCCGGGCCUUGUACACACCGCCCGUCACACCAUGGGAGUGGGUUGCAAAAGAAGUAGGUAGCUUAACCUUCGGGAGGGCGCUUACCACUUUGUGAUUCAUGACUGGGGUGAAGUCGUAACAAGGUAGGCGUAGUGCU